UUUUUAAAUUUUGCUUACAUGCUUUUGCUCUAUAAAUAUUUUUGUCAAAAUUAUGAAUCAAUUAUUUUACAAAUUUCAUGGAAAAUCAUGUUUCAAGAAGAGGAUUUGAUGCACAAACGGAAGGAAAACCUUAAGGUAUUUUUUGUCGAAGCAAUAAUGGUUCUGAACAUAUGCUCUGUAUGUCUAACAGUAUUGGCUUUACUAAAGUUGAAACACGAGUUUUUCAAGCUCCCAAGUUGGAUAUCGAAGAGGGAGAGGACUUCAAACCAACAAAAAUGAGAUACCCUUGAAGUGAGGCCAAAUGGGAUACCCUUGAAGAUGUUAUCUUGCAUACGGAUAACUUAUACCAUAGAGUCACAUGACAGAAAUGUCAUAACUUUCUUCCGAAGGUUUUUGAACUGGACCACGAGACAGCAUAUUUGGAACUUUUUGGACACUAGACGUAUUUUGAAAAGGCUGGCAAAGGAAAAUUUGAAGCAGCUGGGUCGGAUGGUUGCAAAAUUAGCUCAUGCCAACCCAAUGACUGUCCUGCAAACAAUUGUUCAUCAGGUGCUUUUGACAACAAACAAUUUUGUUUAUGAAACCCAC